rnacentral:rRNA from 1 species
CAUGCAAGUCGUGGGAGAAAGCCUUCGGGUGAGUAAACCGGCAGAAGGGUGAGUAUAAACUAGUUAACGUACCCAUCGGACUCGGAUAAUUCCUGGAAACGGGUUGUAAUACGGGAUGACAUUUUUCGCACUUUGGUGCGAAUUCUCAAAAGCGGGGGACUUUUCGGAGCCUCGUGCCGAUGGAGCGGACUAGUUCUGAUUAACUUGUUGGUGAGGUAAUGGCUCACCAAGGUUAUGAUCAGUAGCCGGCCUGAGAGGGUGUUCGGCCACACUGGAACUGAGACACUGUCCAGACUCCUACGGGAGGCUGCAGUCGCGAAUCAUUCACAAUGGACGCAAGUCUGAUGAUGCCACGCCGUGUGUAGGAAGAAGGCUCUAGGGUUGUAAACUACUGUCAGGAUAGGGGAAACGUAUAUAUCGAAGAUGUAUAUGCUUGACUGCUAUCCAGAGGAAGGUCCGGCUAAACACGUGCCAGCAGCCGCGGUAAUACGUGUGGACCAAGCGUUGUUCGGAAUUACUGGGCUUAAAGGGUUCGUA